GUCGCCACAACCUAUUGUCAUGGCAUAUCGGAAUCACAAUAAACGGUACGGUAUUGCAAACCGAUUUGAUCUGGCGAAUUUGUAGACAGAGUAUUUGACGAUACGGUUAUAUAUAAAAGUUAUUACGUCCUAUGGUUAAACUGCGCUUCAACGUAGAAUACAGGCGAUAUAGGAAAACGGCUUCUCUAUACUCCGAUACUCGUCCAUUCUCGCGCAAUCCCAUCACGUCUUAAACUGGCCAUAACGCCGCUACCGUCGCCGCCGCCACUAACACGUGAUUACGGUGUAGAGUGGGAAAAAUGUGGGCACGAAACCGCGGAGCUCGUUCAUGGAAUGCGCCUAAAAGUAGCGUUCAAGUCUCAGACCUUAGCAGCGGUAGUACAUAAUUAUUACUCAAUGUGGUACAUACAUGCAACCAAUUUGGAGGCACUGUUUACUGUCAAUGCGAGAAAUUUUAACGCACUGCGCUGUCAUUCAGGUCUCAGGAUUUUAUAAUUUUCAUUCUUCAGUUUUCUGUAUUCACAGACACAAUAUAAUAUAACAAUAUCCGUCUACGUCCGUAGUAUUGUUACUAAUUUACCAUUGCAAGUGCCUACCUACAACUAAACACUUUAAAUAAUGGCAAAUGUCAUUGAGACAAAUAGUAUGGAAAGCACAACGAUUUCAUACACCAAUUUGGCGCUCCUGGCUAUAGCACAAAUGUAUCCUGCCUUUGACAGAUCAAUAAAACAACACUUUUUAAGAAAAAUCAAAAUAAUAUUACAAAAGGUCAUGUCAUCAGAAUAUUGGAGAAUUAUGAUAUCAUUGAUUUGUAUUAAAAUUUACUUUCAGAUUUUCAUCAUUUGGAAUGUACCCUUCACAAAUGUACUCACAUUUUAUUAUAAUUAUGAAAAACUUACUUAUAUAUGUAUUUAUUAUAUUUUUAUGAUGUGUAUUUCUUUUGAUUGUUUUAAAUAUAGGUAUUGUUUUUGGUUAUACGUUUAUUGAAAAUACUCCAAAUUGCUUUUGGAGUGUUAUUUUUCAGUCAAAAGUUUUAAGGUCUUGUUAUUACAAUAUAUUUUACAAGCAUAAUUAAUGAAGCUUAAAAUUAUUUACAUAUAAAACAUAUUAUUUAUUUAGCAUUAAAUACAGAGACACAUUACUGAACGAUAUACGUAUUAACAAUAUAAGUAUUACAAGAAUGUACCAUUUGAAAUUUAGAAAUAAAUCAUUCCUUAUAAUUUUUGUAGAAUUUUCAAUACUUGAUAUUUUAUGUUAUAUAUUGUGUGCAGCAUGUGGAGUAUCUUAUAUAUGUAGCGAGUAUUGGAAUUCAAACCAUUUAUUGAGAUUACUAACUUUUCCGUUCUGACUGAAAUUGAAUAUAACAUUAAAAGGAGAUU